rnacentral:rRNA from 1 species
CGUACGAUACGAGUUUGGAUCCUGGCUCAGAACGAACGCUGGCGGCAUGCCUAACACAUGCAAGUCGAACGAAGGCUUCGGCCUUAGUGGCGCACGGGUGCGUAACGCGUGGGAACCUGCCCCUCGGUUCGGAAUAACAGUUAGAAAUGACUGCUAAUACCGGAUGAUGACUUCGGUCCAAAGAUUUAUCGCCGAGGGAUGGGCCCGCGUAGGAUUAGCUAGUUGGUGGGGUAAAGGCCUACCAAGGCGACGAUCCUUAGCUGGUCUGAGAGGAUGAUCAGCCACACUGGGACUGAGACACGGCCCAGACUCCUACGGGAGGCAGCAGUGGGGAAUAUUGGACAAUGGGCGAAAGCCUGAUCCAGCAAUGCCGCGUGAGUGAUGAAGGCCUUAGGGUUGUAAAGCUCUUUUACCAGGGAUGAUAAUGACAGUACCUGGAGAAUAAGCUCCGGCUAACUCCGUG